rnacentral:rRNA from 1 species
GACGAACGCUGGCGGCGUGCUUAACACAUGCAAGUCGAACGGAAAGGCCCUGCUUUUGUGGGGUGCUCGAGUGGCGAACGGGUGAGUAACACGUGAGUAACCUGCCCUUGACUUUGGGAUAACUUCAGGAAACUGGGGCUAAUACCGGAUAGGAGCUCCUGCUGCAUGGUGGGGGUUGGAAAGUUUCGGCGGUUGGGGAUGGACUCGCGGCUUAUCAGCUUGUUGGUGGGGUAGGGGCUUACCAAGGCUUUGACGGGUAGCCGGCCUGAGAGGGUGACCGGCCACAUUGGGACUGAGAUCCGGCCCAGACUCCUACGGGAGGCAGCAGUGGGGAAUAUUGCACAAUGGGCGGAAGCCUGAUGCAGCAACGCCGCGUGCGGGAUGACGGCCUUCGGGUUGUAACCCGCUUUCGCCUGUGACGAAGCGUGAGUGACGGUAAUGGGUAAAGAAGCACCGGCUAACUACGUG